rnacentral:rRNA from 1 species
AUACGGAGGGUGCAAGCGUUACUCGGAAUCACUGGGCGUAAAGCGCGCGCAGGCGGGCUGAUAAGUUGGAUGUGAAAGCCUACGGCCCAACCGUAGAACUGCAUCCAAAACUGUCAGUCUAGAGUCUGGGAGGGGAAGAUGGAAUUAGUUGUGUAGGGGUAAAAUCCGUAGAGAUAACUAGGAAUACCAAAAGCGAAGGCGAUCUUCUGGAACAGUACUGACGCUGAGGCGCGAAAGCGUGGGGAGCAAACGGGAUUAGAAACCCUAGUAGUCC